GGGAUAAAAAAUACUUAAGUCUUUACAGAACUACUACUGAAUGCUCGCAACUUGAGGUAGAAUACUACAUGUAAGGAUCCUCCAAGGACAUGACUACAGCAACUGAAAAACACCAAGAUAUUAAGAACGCUGGAACACUGAAAAAUAUAGAGAAACCUCCUUCCUUUGUAAAGAAUUACCUUCCUCACAUCAACACCAUUACCAGCACUAACCUUUGAAUUCUGAAGUGAGAAAGCAGAUGUCAAGAGAAAGAAAGAACAUAUAUUCUAGCGCCAAAAGCUUAUGUCAUGGUCUGUACGCAUUGGAAAGAAUUUGACGUCUGUGUAUCAUUUACCCUGAGAAGGGGGCAGCCAGCCAAACCUUCUACACCCUGUUCGCUUUGUUCUCAGGAAUUGUGGACUGUUCCAGACAUCUGUCGCAAUCCAUCUCCUUUUCAUCUCUGCUUUCUCCAUUUACAAAAUGUUCAGAUUUGUUACUAGUUAUUUCAUUCUGGCUCAGCAUAAGAUAUAAAGUUGUGCCUUAUUAUGGUUGUAAGGAGCCAUCAUGAUGUGAUUUCAAUACUGGAGACUCUGGAGACCAAGGUCUAAAUUCCUGAUGGCCCACGGAAACCCACUGAGUGAUCUUGGACAAGCCCCACUCUCUCAACUAAAGCUGCUACAAGUCAGAAAUGACUUGAGGACACACAGCCAACCAGUCAAUUGCAGUCAUGACAUUUUUAAAUUUUAAAAUGAGAGACCAUACAGUGCCCCCCCCCCACGACCUUCGGCUUUCCCCUUCUCAUUUCACUGAUUCCUCUGCAGCUGGAGAAGCCAUUGCCCAUCAACAGCAACAACGCCAUGCUUGCCAGACAAGGAUGCCAAAUGAAGUCAGAUAACCUGAAAGUAAGAAAGAAUGGGGCAAGAAGAUAGGCUGGUUUAGACAAAGUGAAGGGCAAUUGAAGGUUUUUACAUUCCAAGGGCAAGAAGAGGUGGCCAGUAGUGUAUUACAACAGCACAUCACCUCAAACAAUUUUAGAGCCUUCUUCAUUGCAGAGGUUAAAGAGAAAUUAGCAGUAUUUCAACUGUGUGUGAGAGAGAAUUGGCCAUCUACAGAGAUGUUAGGGGAUGCCCAAAUGUGCUACCAUCCUACUGGGAGGCUUCUCUCAUGUCCCUGCAAGCUAAAGCUGACAAAUGAAAGCUCACCCCAUCUCCCA